AGUGAACGCUGGCGGCAUGCCUAACACAUGCAAGUCGAACGGCAGCACGGUUAGUUCUUGCUCUUAUCGAGUGCCGAACGGGUGCGUAAUACGUCUGCACCUGUCCCUUCUUUUUCGUUGGCCAUAAGGAAGCGGGAUUUAUACCACUACCGCAUACCACCUUCGAGUGAGGGCAGUGGAUCUUUGGCGCUUUCGCGUUUGACUGUGCCGAUGUCGGAUUAGCUAGUUGGCGGGGUAAAGGCCCACCAAGGCGAGGAUCCGUAGCUGGUCUGAGAGGAUGAUCAGCCACACUGGAACUGAGACACGGUCCAGACUCCUAAGGGAGGCAGCAGUGGGGAAUGCUGGACAAUGGGCGAAAGCCUGAUCCAGCAAUACCGCGUGUGUGAAGAAGGCCUUCGGGUUGUAAAGCCCUUUUGUUGGGAAAGAAAAGCUUGAGGCUAAUACGGCGCGGGUAUGACGGUACCGGAAGAAUAAGCACCGGCUAACUACGUG
rnacentral:rRNA from 1 species